ACGUAGGGUGCAAGCGUUAAUCGGAAUUACUGGGCGUAAAGCGUGCGCAGGCGGUGAUGUAAGACAGGUGUGAAAUCUCCUGGCUCAACUGGGAGCUUGCAGGCGAAACUGCCGUGCUGGAGUGUGGGAGAGGUGCGUGGAAUUCCUGGUGUAGCGGUGAAAUGCGUAGAUAUCAGGAGGAACACCUGUGGCGAAAGCGGCGCACUGGACCACAACUGACGCUGAGGCGCGAAAGCUAGGGGAGCAAACAGGA
rnacentral:rRNA from 1 species